rnacentral:rRNA from 1 species
CCUACGGGAGGCUGCAGUGGGGAAUAUUGCACAAUGGGGGAAACCCUGAUGCAGCGACGCCGCGUGUGUGAAGAAGUAUUUCGGUAUGUAAAGCUCUAGCAGCCGGGAAGAAGAAAGACGGUACCUGACGAAGAAGCCCCGGCUAACUACGUGCCAGCAGCCGCGGUAAUACGUAGGGGGCAAGCGUUAUCCGGAAUUACUGGGUGUAAAGGGAGCGUAGACGGCGGUGCAAGUCUGAAGUGAAAGCCCAGGGCUCAACCCUGUGGCGGCUUUGGAAACUGUGGAUCUGGAGUGAUGGAGAGGUAAGUGGAAUUCCUAGUGUAGCGGUGAAAUGCGUAGAUAUUAGGAGGAACACCAGUGGCGAAGGCGGCUUACUGGACAGUAACUGACGUUGAGGCUCGAAAGCGUGGGGAGCAAACAGGAUUAGAUACCCUUGUAGUC